rnacentral:rRNA from 1 species
AUUGAACGCUGGCGGCAGGCCUAACACAUGCAAGUCGAGCGAGCGGCGGAAGGGUGAGUAAUGUCUGGGAAAAUGCCUGAUGGAGGGGGAUAACUACUGGAAACGGUAUCUCAUACCGCAUACCAUCAGAUGUGCCCAGAUGGGAUUAGCUAGUAGGGGGGGUAUCGGCUCACCUAGGCGACGAUCCCUAGCUGGUGUGAGAGGAUGACCAGCCACACUGGAACUGAGACACGGUCCAGACUCCUACGGGAGGCAGCAGUGGGGAAUAUUGCACAAUGGGCGCAAGCCUGAUGCAGCCAUGCCGCGUGUGUGAAGAAGGCCUUCGGGUUGUAAAGCACUUUCAGCGGGGAGGCGUUACCCGCAGAAGAAGCACCGGCUAACUCCGUGCCAGCAGCCGCGGUAAUAC